rfam:Gossypium raimondii chromosome 9, whole genome shotgun sequence.
AAUCCAUGGUGUGGGCACUUUCUUAGCAUAUCCUUGAAGCUUUCCUAAGUAUCGUACAUGGACUCACCUUCAUAUUGUUUAAAGUUGGUGAUUUCUCACCUAAUCU